rnacentral:rRNA from 1 species
UGAGGAAUAUUGGUCAAUGGGCGAGAGCCUGAACCAGCCAAGUCGCGUGAAGGAUGACUGUCUUAUGGAUUGUAAACUUCUUUUAUACGGGAAUAACAAGAGUCACGUGUGACUCCCUGCAUGUACCGUAUGAAUAAGCAUCGGCUAACUCCGUGCCAGCAGCCGCGGUAAUACGGAGGAUGCGAGCGUUAUCCGGAUUUAUUGGGUUUAAAGGGUGCGUAGGCGGCCUGUUAAGUCAGCGGUGAAAUCUAGGAGCUUAACUCCUAAAUUGCCAUUGAUACUGGCGGGCUUGAGUGUAGAUGAGGUAGGCGGAAUGCGUGGUGUAGCGGUGGAAUGCAUAGAUAUCACGCAGAACUCCGAUUGCGAAGGCAGCUUACUAAGGUACAACUGACGCUGAAGCACGAAAGCGUGGGUAUCAAACAGGAUUAGAUACCCUGGUAGUCCACGCAGUAACGAUGAUAACUGGGCGUAUGCGAUAUACAGUAUGCUCCUAAGCGAAAAGCGUUAAGUUAUCCACCUGGGGAGUACGCCGGCAACGGUGA